rnacentral:rRNA from 1 species
UGGGGAAUCUUGCACAAUGGGGGCAACCCUGAUGCAGCGACGCCGCGUGAGCGAUGAAGCCCUUCGGGGCGUAAAGCUCUUUCGACCGGAACGAUAAUGACGGUACCGGGAGAAGAAGCUGCGGCUAACUACGUGCCAGCAGCCGCGGUAAUACGUAGGCAGCAAGCGUUGUUCGGAGUUACUGGGCGUAAAGAGUGCGGAGGCGGUUUUCUAGGUUCGGUGUGAAAUCUCCCGGCUUAACUGGGAGGGUGCGCCGAAGACUGGGAAGCUGGAGUGUGGGAAAGGCAGGCGGAAUUCCUGGUGUAGCGGUGAAAUGCGUAGAUAUCAGGAGGAACACCGGCGCUGUAGACGGCUUGCUAGACCAUAACUGACGCUGAGGCACGAAAGCGUGGGUAGCAAACA